rnacentral:lncRNA from 1 species
AUGAACUAUGCCAUGUGUGCUGUUUCAGAGACAUCACAAAGAAUCAGCAGUCACAGAAGGGGCACAACAUCGUCAAACUGGAGCAACAGGAAUGUCACUGCUGGCAAGAUAAGCAGCACAGGAACGUGUUUGCCAGGGAGAUCAUCAUGCUGUCAGAAGGCAUUAAAAGAGUCUAAGCAGCUUCAGAGCCUGCUAUGCAAGACAAGAUGUGCACACAAAGUCACUGCUUCUUCUCGGAGCAGCUUCAGAAAGAAACUGAUUCAAUGUGCAGCACACAUGGAGCCUAUAGAGGACAGCACAGAGAAUGCACAGGCAAGAGAUUAAUAAGGAUGUUAAAAGACGGUAGUAUGGUGUGCUUUGUCUUUUAUAUUUCUAACAAUAUGUAUUUCAGCAAUGAAUUAG